UGGGCAGGAUUGUGCUGGUGCCCCAGCGUUUCUUUUGUGUUAUCACUCUGUUGGGUUGUGUUGUCUGUCUGGAUGCUGGAUUAUGUGCUUUAUAUAUAAAGCGGGGCGAAAGCCUGUUUCGAGUAAACACCCCCCCCCCUCGUUCCUCGUCCCCCGUGCAUUGGCACUCUGGCAAAACAAUAUCUCUACAAACAAACAAAUGAACAAUAUAUCUCUAUAAAACAAACAAAUAAACAAUAUAUGGCAAGCAGCUCCAUAUGUGUUGUCUUCAUUAGUGGACAUUUGUUGGUUGUGUG
rnacentral:lncRNA from 1 species